UGGGGAAUAUUGGACAAUGGGCGCAAGCCUGAUCCAGCAAUGCCGCGUGUGUGAAGAAGGCCUUCGGGUUGUAAAGCACUUUUAUCAGGAGCGAAACGCUGUCGGCUAAUACCCGGCGGAACUGACGGUACCUGAGGAAUAAGCACCGGCUAACUUCGUGCCAGCAGCCGCGGUAAUACGAAGGGUGCAAGCGUUAAUCGGAAUUACUGGGCGUAAAGCGUGCGUAGGCGGUUUCUUAAGUCUGCUGUGAAAUCCCCGGGCUCAACCUGGGAAUGGCAGUGGAUACUGGGAGGCUAGAGUGUGUCAGAGGGUGGUGGAAUUCCCGGUGUAGCGGUGAAAUGCGUAGAGAUCGGGAGGAACAUCAGUGGCGAAGGCGGCCACCUGGGACAACACUGACGCUGAGGCACGAAAGCGUGGGGAGCAAACAGGAUUAGGGUACCCUGGUAGUCCACGCCCUAAACGAUGCGAACUGGAUGUUGGUCUCAACUCGGAGAUCAGUGUCGAAGCUAACGCGUUAAGUUCGCCGCCUGGGGAGUACGGUCGCAAGACUGAAACUUAAAUGAAUUGAC
rnacentral:rRNA from 1 species